rnacentral:rRNA from 1 species
CAAUAGCGUAUAUUAAAGUUGUUGCAGUUAAAAAGCUCGUAGUUGGACCUUGGACCUGGACAGGCGGUCCGCCUCACGGCGUGUACUGUCUUGCUGGGUCUUUCCUCUUGGUGAUCUGUUGUUUCGGCAGCAGGGAACCAGGACUUUUACUUUGAAAAAAUUAGAGUGUUCAAAGCAGGCUCGACGCCGGAAUAUAUUAGCAUGGAAUAAUAAAAUAGGACGUGCGGUUCUAUUUUGUUGGUCUUUGGAAUCGCCGUAAUGAUUAAUAGGGACAGUCGGGGGCAUUAGUACUCACAUGCUAGAGGUGAAAUUCUUGGAUUUUGUGAAGACUAACUUCUGCGAAAGCAUUUGCCAAGGAUGUUUUCAUUAA